CUCACUUUGUAGACCAGGCUAGCCUCGAA
rnacentral:piRNA from 1 species